rnacentral:rRNA from 1 species
UACAGAGGGUGCAAGCGUUAAUCGGAAUUACUGGGCGUAAAGCGUGCGUAGACGGUUACAUAAGUCGGGUGUGAAAGCCCCGGGCUCAACCUGGGAAUUGCAUUCGAGACUGCGUAGCUAGGGUGCGGAAGAGGGAAGCGGAAUUUCCGGUGUAGCGGUGAAAUGCGUAGAGAUGUGGAGGAAUACCGAUGGCGAAGGCAGCCCCCUGGGCCAAUACUGACGCUCAUGCACGAAAAGCGUGGGGGAGCAAACAGG